rnacentral:rRNA from 1 species
GAGGAUAACACCGGAUAAGGAAAUUCAACUGGAAUGUGGACUUCCUCAAAAUCACUGCCUAAGGACGAGUUGGCGGCGGAUUAGGUUGUUGGCGAGGUAAUGGCUCACCAAGCCGAAUAUCCGUAGGGGCCUUGAGAGAGGUAGCCCCGAGAAGGGCACUGAGAUACUGGCCCUAGCUCCACGGAGUGCAGCAGGCGCGAAACCUUUACAAUGCGCGAAAGCGUGAUAAGGGGACCCCAAGUGCUGAUGCAAAGCAUCAGCUUUUGCCAAGAGCAAAAAUCUUGGCGAAUAAGUGGUGGGCAAUACCUGUGCCAGCCGCCGCGGUAACCCAGGAGCCACAAGUGGCAAUCACCUUUAUUGGGCCUAAAGCGUCCGUAGCCGGUUUUGUAAAUUUUCUGUGAAAUCGUUGCGCUUAACGUAACGGCGUGCAGAAAACACUGCAAGACUCGGGACCGGGAGGAGUCAGAGGUAUUUCUGGGGGAGCGGUAAAAUGCUAUAAUCCCAGAAGGACCACCUGUGGCGAAGGCGUCUGACUAGAACGGAUUCGACGGUGAGGGACGAAAGCUAGGGGAGCAAUCCGGAUUAGAUACAACCUUUUUGCGUUCGCAAAAAGCUUGACCAA